GAGUUUGAUCAUGGCUCAGAUUGAACGCUGGCGGCGUGCCUUACACAUGCAAGUCGAACGGCAGCACGGGAGCUUGCUCCUGGUGGCGAGUGGCGAACGGGUGAGUAAUGCAUCGGAACGUAUCCUGGAGUGGGGGAUAACGUAGCGAAAGUUACGCUAAUACCGCAUAUUCUGUGAGCAGGAAAGCGGGGGACCUUCGGGCCUCGCGCUCUUGGAGCGGCCGAUGUCGGAUUAGCUAGUUGGUGAGGUAAAGGCUCACCAAGGCGACGAUCCGUAGCAGGUCUGAGAGGAUGAUCUGCCACACUGGAACUGAGACACGGUCCAGACUCCUACGGGAGGCAGCAGUGGGGAAUUUUGGACAAUGGGGGCAACCCUGAUCCAGCCAUGCCGCGUGAGUGAAGAAGGCCUUCGGUGUAAGUAC
rnacentral:rRNA from 1 species